rnacentral:rRNA from 1 species
GAUGAACGCUGACAGAAUGCUUAACACAUGCAAGUCUACUUGAACUUCGGUUUGGGUGGCGGACGGGUGAGUAACGCGUAAAGAACUUGCCUCACAGAUAGGGACAACAUUUGGAAACGAAUGCUAAUACCUGAUAUUAUGAUUUUAGGGCAUCCUAGAAUUAUGAAAGCUAUAUGCACUGUGAGAGAGCUUUGCGUCCCAUUAGCUAGUUGGAGAGGUAACGGCUCACCAAGGCGAUGAUGGGUAGCCGGCCUGAGAGGGUGAUCGGCCACAAGGGGACUGAGACACGGCCCUUACUCCUACGGGAGGCAGCAGUGGGGAAUAUUGGACAAUGGACCAAGAGUCUGAUCCAGCAAUUCUGUGUGCACGAUGAAGUUUUUCGGAAUGUAAAGUGCUUUCAGUUGGGAAGAAAAAAAUGACGGUACCAACAGAAGAAGUGACGGCUAAAUACGU